rnacentral:lncRNA from 10 species
CUGAAAUCUAUAUGCACUAUAGGGCUUUCAUAGUACUUUUCUGACCACGGUUUUCUGGAGUUUUUUCGUAUGGAGUUUGUAAGCUUCCUGACAUGUUAUUUUUGGCAGAUUUUGAUGGAUGUACAUUGAUGGAUAGCCACGUGGAUCCAGAAAAUAAAGACUUCUACUCUGCAUUUGACUAAAGCAGAAGAUAUGCAAGGAAGCUCAGUCUCUCAAUUGAGUGGAUUCUGAAAUUUAUCCUGUUGUCUUCAGCUACUAAGGCUAAUUUGCAAAUCACACUGUGCACGGGGUGAAAUAGGAGCACUUAGGAAGCACUGCAAUGAAUUUACUGCUUAUUCAGCAUAUUGAUAGAGUCUUCUCUAAAACAACAAAAAGUGUUGACAGCAAACUGAAGAUCUUAAAGAAUGUGUGUGUCCCACCCCUGCAGUACUUCAGCAUUCUGAGGUAACAAGACAGUUGGCUUACUGCAUCUUAGAAAGGCUUAUUGAUUUUGUUAUUGCUACAACUAUCAUGGAAGCAGAGGCAGCAAUUUCUCAAGCCUAGUUCCAAAAGGAUUAAACCUGACAAAGAUUUAU